CGGUGGUACGUGCACACCAGUCAAUGCUAGUUCCAGGAUUUGCGUCCCCAGUGGUCUCCCUCUCUCUCUCUCGCCUACCCGUGAAGUCACCGCUCGCCGUAUCAAAAGCGAAGCAGCCCCAGAAAAAUGUCCAGGAAAGUUUCCGAUCGCGAGGACGAUGACGACGAGCAGGAGGUAUCGAGGAUGGGGGAGCCUCCCCAGCUGGUCCGCGGCCGGCCGUUAGGCGUUAGCCCGCGAUCCCGCCAAGGAUUUGCCCCUAAAUAUUUGAAUUGGCACUUCGAUUCUGGCGUGCAUCAUAAAUGAUCAAUAUGGGGACAUUUGAUAGAUUCCUUGGAGUGCUAAAUGCUGCACCGGGGUUUGUACCAAAUCAUUUAAGAGCUUGGCAGACGUAGCAAUGGGUAUCUAUUCUUCACCAUUCAGGCAUAACUUCAUGCUUCUAUUGGUACGAGACAGCUUCAUGGUUUUUAUGCGUUUAACUGAGGUUGUGUGGAAUGGAUUAGCCAAUGGUCAAUGGUUUUGAUGGCUCAUGUUCUAAUUGUGGCUAAUUCAAUGGAUGUGAUGAAAUGGAAAUGUGGAUAGUAGUAAUUACUUAGCUGUUGUAUAUUUUUCUAAAACCUUCAUUAAAAUUGGUGCACAUAUGGUCCUUUUCAAUACUUGCUACGCAUACCAUCGGUCCUAUUUUAUUACACACUGAACUUAAGCAGUCAUAACAGCUGUAGAGUUCUUCCUAGACUAGUCUUUAGUGGUGAUGACAGACUUAUCGUCCAAUGUAGUUCGACACCAUCAGCAUAAAACACAGUUUAGAAUGCCACAAAUUUGGUGACAGCCAUGGAUGAUGAGUGUCUGAUACCAGUGGCGGAGCUAAUGCUUGCUGUCGGGGUCCGCCGACCCUGACGAAAUUCCUAUAAUCCUUUGUAAAGUUACUGUUUAUUACUGUUUUUAGUGUUGAUGACCCCGUCCUAAAAUGAUGAUGACCCCGGUGGCCGUAAUUUCUGGCUUCGCCCCUGAACCAUGUAGAGAAUUGGGAAAACACCACACACCCUAAGGAGGGGGGGUUGACCUCUAUUAUAUAUUGCCGUAUAGGCUUGGAGUACAAGUAAACUCAAUACAAGUAAAUACAACAAUAUACCUCUAAUAGAUGGGAACUUUCUUUGAGUACACUGUAUCUAGCAAUAGAAUGGACUUGCUUUUCCUUUCCUGCUUCCCGGAGUUCACAAAUAAAUGGAGUGUAGAAACUAUUUACCUGGAAAGUUAAUCAGCUUUGGUCUUGCAAAUAUUUAAUUGCUGUUUGAUCACUGUUAAGGCAUUACUGUUGAUUUUCACAAUUCAGACGGAAAGGAAGAUAUGAGAAACAUUUUUGAGAACUGGGAAAAUGUUAUGAAAGUAAAAAAGCUUGUUACAACAAUGUUCUUUGGGUGUUAAGGACAGCUAUUUCUGCUAUUAAACAUGAUUACAAGAAGACAAGAAGUUGACAUCUCAGCAUAAUCCAUAUAAGAAGUUUGAAAAUAAACCGAAAGUGGUUUCAUCAAAUUGUUGUUGGUUAUGAUGUAACCAAGAGCAUGGAACAUAAACAUUUUCUUUGAUUUACAGUUCUGUGGAUCCUUUCUUUGCGUCUGUAGCACUUAUAAGCACUAUAGUGCCCCUUCAUCAGGAUCUUGAGGUUAACUGAUUGUACCCAUUACCUAACAUUUUGUAAGCAGAUAGUCCCCACACAAAAGGUCAGAAGUAAGGACCAUAAGGUGCAUUCCCUAAAAUAUGCAAGCUUUCAAGUAACUUUAAAAACUGUGAUGGGUUUUGCAGACUUGUGCACUUUUAUAAUAGUUUCUGAAUUGAUAGUAAGUUUAUUUUCAUCAUUUCGAGAACUUUUCAUUCUAAAGGAGGCAUACUUUGUCCUUUUCCCUUUUCCUUGUUGCCAUGCUAGCUACCACCUAUUAUUUUCAGCGUAGUGACUCGAUGGACAAUGAAAUGUAAGAUAGGACCAUUGGUGCCUAGAAUAAGAUUUACUUUGCCCAUUCUAAUUAUGAACUGUCACUCAGUUGCAAUUCUGAGGAUUGACUACCAAUUAAUUUUCUUCCAGACUUGGAACUAUAGGAGCCAAGCAACAGUCUAAUUAGCCAUUUUGAUGUAUCAUUAUCCAUUUAUUUUGUUUAUUUGGCACAGCGAAAUCUUAUGCAAUCAAGUAUUUACAUCGCAGAUCUAAUUCAUUCACAACUUAGUGUUUGUGAUGAAUAUUUGGUGAACCACAUUGUAUCGUACUCGCCUCUUGAUUUUCCAGAAGAAUGGUUGAAGCUACAGUUGCUUUGUCAUUUCAGAAACCAACAAGCAGCUCAUGCCAAAGUAUGCAAGGCAUCCUAGGUGGAAGGUUCGCGGAGUCGUGCUGUCAAGUUCUUUGUGUCUGGAGUCUGUGGACGGGACUAGUGAGCUAUUACAAGGACUUGUGCAGGCCCAUAUACGAUCAUAAUACAGAUACAGUGAACCAUAGCUUGCCCCACCGAAGUGCCAAUCCCCACAAAGCCGUUGUGGCUGCUUCACUCAUCACAAUCAGGCACGAUCGUAUUCUUCCUCCCGUCUUUAUCACCCCACCCUCUUCCUAUGCAAUAGCUAGUUUCUGCAAGGUAAUGGAGAAGAUGAUAGUGACAUUGGAGUGGGAAGUAGUUGUGGAGAUCACUGCUAUUGCAAACUGCAGCUUAAUGCUUGCUUGAUACAACCACUUGGCAUUGUGAUCGCCACAGCCUUUCUGUCCUCAUGGCCAUCUUCUUUGCUUAAAUACAUGGGGGAAGUUCAGGUUCCAAUCCGAUUGAUAAGGUUUUCUUUUAGGGUUAAUUAGAUCUAUGCCAUUGUAACUUUGUUGUUUUUAAACCGCACCAUUACUAUUCGCAAAACUAUGCCACUGCCAUUACAAUUCAUCUGAUGUUUGGAAUACGCCAUUAUGUA